AGAGUUUGAUCCUGGCUCAGAUUGAACGCUGGCGGCAUGCCUUACACAUGCAAGUCGAACGGCAGCAUGAUCUAGCUUGCUAGAUUGAUGGCGAGUGGCGAACGGGUGAGUAAUACAUCGGAACGUGCCCUGUAGUGGGGGAUAACUAGUCGAAAGAUUAGCUAAUACCGCAUACGACCUGAGGGUGAAAGUGGGGGACCGCAAGGCCUCAUGCUAUAGGAGCGGCCGAUGUCUGAUUAGCUAGUUGGUGGGGUAAAGGCCCACCAAGGCGACGAUCAGUAGCUGGUCUGAGAGGACGAUCAGCCACACUGGGACUGAGACACGGCCCAGACUCCUACGGGAGGCAGCAGUGGGGAAUUUUGGACAAUGGGCGAAAGCCUGAUCCAGCAAUGCCGCGUGUGAGAAGAAGGCCUUCGGGUUGUAAAGCACUUUUGUCCGGAAAGAAAUGGCUCUGGUUAAUACCUGGGGUCGAUGACGGUACCGGAAGAAUAAGGACCGGCUAACUACGUGCCAGCAGCCGCGGUAAUAC
rnacentral:rRNA from 1 species